CCUACGGGAGGCAGCAGUGAGGAAUAUUGGUCAAUGGACGAGAGUCUGAACCAGCCAAGUCGCGUGAAGGAUUACUGCCCUAUGGGUUGUAAACUUCUUUUAUCUGGGAAUAAACUGUUCCACUUGCGGGCUUUUGUAUGUACCGUAUGAAUAGGAAUCGGCUAACUCCGUGCCACCGGCCGCGUUAUUACGGAGGAUCCGACGGUUAGCCGGAUUUAUGUGGUUUAAAGGGAGCGGAGGUGGUUUGUUAAGGCAGGUGUGAAAGUUUGCGGACCAAACGUAAAAUAGCAGUUGAAACUGGCAGUCUAGAGUACAGGAGAGGUGGGCGGAAUGCGUGGUGUAGCGGUGAAAUGCUUAGAUAUCACGAAGAACUCCGAUUGCGAAGGCAGUACACUGGAGUGCAACUGACACUGAGGCACGAAAGUGUGGGUAUCAAACAGGAUUAGAUACCCGGGUAGUC
rnacentral:rRNA from 1 species